CCUCAAAUUUUAUUAUUCUUUAAAUUUUAAUUUUAUAUUUUCGUACAUUAAUUUUUUUUUUCAAAUUUAAUAACUUUAUAUAAUUAUUAACUGUUAAUUAGUUAAAAGCUUCAAAUCGAAAUAUACUAUUACUUUUAGUUAUGAAAAAAACUAUUAUUUAUUUUAUUAUUAUAUAAAUUUUAAUAUUAUGCAAUAUAACCGACCGUCCCUAGAGCAAGUGGCAAAGGACUUGGUGGCUGGUACCCGAGGUCCCAAGUUCGAAUCCUAGUUUAUUCACAUUUCCAGCUAAGUCAUGUUUGGUUCGCCGAAAGUGUAGCAUCGAAAGUGGUAUUUUUAGAAAGUGAUGUCUUAUCGGUUGUUUGGUUUACGAAAGUAGAUAUGAAAGUCACUUUUCGAAAGUAGGCUGAUAAAGUGAAUUAUUCGCGAAUUUUUGAAGAAAUGAAUUAACCGACCGAAUUCGUAUUUUUCGAAAAAAUUCGGAAAAAAA
rnacentral:lncRNA from 1 species